UAAUACGGAGGGUGCAAGCGUUAUCCGGAUUUACUGGGUUUAAAGGGUGCGUAGGUGGACUAGUAAGUCAGUGGUGAAAUCUCCGGGCUUAACCCGGAAACUGCCAUUGAUACUAUUGGUCUUGAAUACUUUGGAGGUAAGCGGAAUAUGUCAUGUAGCGGUGAAAUGCUUAGAUAUGACAUAGAACACCAAUUGCGAAGGCAGCUUACUACACAGUGAUUGACACUGAGGCACGAAAGCGUGGGGAUCAAACAGGAUUAGAUACCCUGGUAGUCCACGCCCUAAACGAUGGAUACUCGACAUUAGCGAUACACAGUUAGUGUCUGAGCGAAAGCAUUAAGUAUCCCACCUGGGAAGUACGAUCGCAAGAUUG
rnacentral:rRNA from 1 species